AUGUUCAGUCUGCUUUUACCGUCGGUUAGUUUGCACGCUGUGACUCGACUCACCGCUUGUGAUUUUAAUUCGACAAAAUGUGUUUAUUCCUUUAUAAAAUGUGGUAGUUAUUUAAUGGUAACCAGAUUCUAUUUUGUUUUGACAAUAUAAUGAGUGAUGUUGUUUCGAAUAUUCCUGAUGAAUGUAACACAAAUUUGGUGUUCUUAAGUGAUCUGUGCGUGUAUGUGGCUUCCCAGUUUGGAACAGCGGUCGAAUAACUUCAAUUUUUAUCACUACUCAUGGAGAUAGAGAUGUUGCAUCAAAAUGCCGUACUUGCCGUACUCUUGCAAUCCCAUGAGCGCUGCAUUGUUACAGCACUCGUUGUGCCUGGCAGUCCGAUAUGCUGUAUACUGGAAAAUUCCGUAACGCGAGUUAUAUCGAAAGUUUUGGGUAUAUAUUAAGAAUUUGAAAUCCGUUCUUGUCAUUGCGGUACAAGUGACUCGUGUUCAGGGCACCCUACAAAGGUAGCGGUAGAAGUGACUCGUGUUCAAAGCACCGUUCAAAGGUAGCGGUAGUGAGUCGUGUUCAUAAAAUAUAAAAUAUAAAUUGUACUAUUCGGAAUGGAAAAAUAACUGGGAUAAAAGGGCUGUACCGCCUCUUGUAUUUUUUUGUUAUGAAUUAUUUUCACUUUUUCCGAUUUUAAUACUUUAUUUUAUAGAGAAUAUUUAAAUUAGUCGCGAUGUUGUGAACAUCAAUAAUUUAAUUAACUGACGUAUACAGUAAUCUUAUACGAACACAAUUAGAAGACAGUAAAUUAUUUAUUUGUAUUGGUAAAUUACAAAUUCCUGUUUUUGCUCAUCCUUAUUGCAUUCCAAAACCAAUAUAUAAAUAAGUAAAAGUAGUUUCGUGUAUGUGUGUUACUUCAAUAUUGUGAAUUUUUACUUUCGUCUUCUCAAGUACGUGUUUACCACUACGUUUGUUUAUAAACAACUUUUUUGUUGGACUGAAGUGUAUUAUCGCGACGUACCUGCCUUGUACCUGGCAACGCGCAGCGCACACGGCAGUCGUUUCACCGCAUGGUCCGCGAGCGCGUCUCACUACUA